rnacentral:rRNA from 1 species
GACGAGCCUCACAAACGUUAUUCGGAAUUACUGGGCGUAAAGCGUGCGCAGGCGGUUUUGUAAGCCAGAUGUGAAAUCCCCGGGCUUAACCUGGGAAUGGCAUUUGGGACUGCAAGGCUCGAGUGCGGCAGAGGAGACUGGAAUUCCUGGUGUAGCGGUGGAAUGCGCAGAUAUCAGGAGGAACACCGAUGGCGAAGGCAGCUCGCUGGGACGGUACUGACGCUGAGGCGCGAAAGCGUGGGGAGCGAACAGG